UACGUAGGGGGCUAGCGUUAUCCGGAAUUACUGGGCGUAAAGGGUGCGUAGGUGGUUUCUUAAGUCAGAGGUGAAAGGCUACGGCUCAACCGUAGUAAGCCUUUGAAACUGGGAAACUUGAGUGCAGGAGAGGAGAGUGGAAUUCCUAGUGUAGCGGUGAAAUGCGUAGAUAUUAGGAGGAACACCAGUUGCGAAGGCGGCUUUCUGGACUGUAACUGACACUGAGGCAUGAAAGCGUGGGGAGCAAACAGGAUUAGAUACCCUGGUAGUCCCUGAG
rnacentral:rRNA from 1 species